ensembl:lncRNA
AGCCUGUGGAAGAACAGCUUAAGGCCACUCAGUGAUUGGUUGUUCCUAUCCAUUCAGCCUCCUGAGCAGAGGGAGCUGCAAACCAGACCUCAGUGGUUGGCUAAGUGCGCCAGUCCACAGUAAGGAACGACUGAGUAGGGACAGAGGACACUUGCACAACUCAGGACCAGGCUCUUCCCUCAGGUUGAGUAGCAGUGAGCUCAGCAGCUAAAGCAGUCCACCCACCUUCAAAUUCCUCCUUGUUACAGCCUUUUCAGCAGCGGCCCCUCUUUCUUUCCAAUCUUCUGGAGGCAGGAUCUCCACGGAAGGAGAGAUGAGGUGUGGCCUCCUGCAGGAGUUCACAGGGUGGCGGCGCCACGCAUGCUCAGAACUUCCCUAGGCCUGUAUUUACCACCUCAGACCCGCUGAGUGAGCUCCCUUAUUGUGUCACGGGAUGGCAAUGCCCACAUAGCACAGAGGAGAGUCUGUGCUACCCAGAAUGAUGGUGGGCAGGUUAACGUAAGACAUCUCCGUGAGAGGCUGGUGGUCGGCCCUGGAAUCGGUAAGCACCAGAAGACGCAACUCCAGGAGGGCUGCGCAGAUACGGUGCACGAAGCUUCCGGGGAGCAAAGCAGCCAACAACAGGAGUGGCUCCAGCAGCAGCAGCAAACGUCAGCCCAGCUCCGUGGCCCGUGUUCCUGGAGGAUAUGAUACUGACACCAGCUGGGUUUUCAGUAGCGACAAUGGCAGGAGCUGCCGGCAGAAGCUUCUCCCAAGUCUCUUCAGAUUAAUAAGAAGGAUUUGAAGUCAGUUGCACAAAUAUCAGACUGAAGAUGCCUGGCUUGAAAGCGGUUACUGCUGAUGCCUAAGGACAGUCUCAGUUUGUGGAGAAUCCUGUGCUUUCCAACCUUGACCUCACUUCGUUCUUACAGUAAACUUUGAUUCAUGUCCACCUUGCAACAAAUGUAUGAAGGGGCAGGAAUUGCAAGCAAGGAUGACAAAAUAAGAAGCUUUAGACAUCCCUACUACAAGGGUAUUAGCAAUCAUUUGGACCACAACAACUGGAAGGGUUCAGUGACUUGCCUGAGAUCACAUACCCAGCAAGUUGUCUGGAACCCACUAUGCAACACUGGAGCCAUACUCUCCAAGCAUUUCACUGCCGUACCUCCAUUCCAGAUGUUCCGAAUAUUGGAGACAGACGUUUAUUUUAUUUCCUUGGUUCCCAUUUCACAUGAAGCUUUUGCACAAAGAAGGUGGGUUGAAUGGCUAAGUUAUUUGUGAGUCAGGAUUCCAAGGGUAAUUAUUCUCACAUAAUUGCCAAAUGACUCAUGACAAGACUUUCAGUGAUGUGUACCUGGGUUUUCUAGUUCAGAUCUAGAGGAUAAUGGUUGCUUAACAUAAUGAAAAAGAACUUUAGGCUAUUUAAGAAGAGGUACGUGUCAGUAGGAAUGUGUUGACUCUUGAAAUAAUAGCCCCAUUUACACUAUUUGUAAGAACUGUGUUGCACAAAUGUUAGAAGUUUGAAAUGACCAAAUAUCAGAAGUGCUUUUUGUUUUUAGCCUAACACACGUGGUGAGAAAUUCAUUCUGAUUCAUUUAGAAUGAAGUGGCUAGAAGUUACCAUGAUGAUUUAAAUUUUGCCCCCCAAAUUACCAGUAUAUAAAAAUCUCAACUAAUGUCCUACCCUUUAGAUAAAAUAUAGAUCCAUAGCUGGAAAACGUUCAGAGCCAUGUGCCUGAUGUUCAUGGACAACUCUUGUGUUUAAAUGAUGAUUUGCCAACGUGGUUAAUAAGUGAAUAUGCAAAGAACAUCAGGAUAUAUUUUGUGAAUGAUUAUUGUUAUCAGUCAUGAUGAGGAUGAAUCCAUUGUGGGUUUGGUUACUUCCUGUAUUUAAUCUUCAUUUUUCAAAGUCAUAUCAUUCUGGAAAGAAAAAUAACUGAUGGAUUUCUAUUUGACAAAUCA